GGGAAUUCCAUACUUCCUAGAAACUUUGAGGGCACUUUGGCCAGACAUAAGCGCCACGGAGCAUCGCCAAAGAGUACAAUGGUUCUCCAGAAUUGUAUGACUACCUAAUUUAUGCGUCUUAAGAAUUAUUUUCUUUCACCAGAGAGGGGCUCUUCCAAAUUAACUGAAAGUAACAAAAUCUUGAGAGAGAAAAGGGAGGAGAGAUCCUAAUGUGAUCAGUCAUGCCUCUAUAUCAGACCCUCCCGAGGACGCUUGAUGUCAUCUCGUCCCUCCUGGUCAUUAUACUGCUGUCUCCUCUCAACAAUACUGCCCUCUCAGCGGUCUGCUCUAGCUGCUUCUCCACUUGAAAUGCCUGGCUGGCCUCUUCUCGCAAACCUACAUGAAAUUGUGUGCUAAAACGUUGCGUGGUCCUCCCCUUACUCCUCCCACUAACCGUGUUUUUAGGACACAACAAAGGAGACCCCCAGACAACUUGGCUGAUGGACUGUUAUCAGGAAUCAAUGUUCAUGUGAAAGCAAAAGAUGCUCAAGUGUCUGUGAUCAUCCAUUUAAUCUAAAAGGGACAGUCCACUGAAAAUGCUAACUAAAAUCUUUUCUCCACAUACCUUGGUUGUAGUCGAUUCCUAAAGACAAAUUGUAAAACUUGAAGCCAAGUAACAUUUUCAAAAAUGUCUAUAGAUGGAAUAUAGUCUACCCCUUUAAUGACCCUGUACUGUAAUGUAUACACUCAAUACUGUAAAAAAUAUAAGUCUAAUUAUAUUGACAGCAUAAAACCGUGUCUGACAUUUUUCGUUCGUGGAAUAUCACCAGACUUGACUUCAAAACUACAAUAAAAUGAAUUUCCACAAUACAUAAUGCCAAUGAUGGGAUACAAUUGUAGGAUUAGAGUGUAUCGGAUGGACAAUUCAGUCUGAAAAUAUAUGGUGAGUUGAACAAAAUAUAAACUAGCGCCUGGAACUCCAUACCAUUUAUUUUAACAGAGAAAUCCUUGCAGGAAUCUGCCCAAAUCCAGUGGGAUAUCAUGCAUGACAUGUUACUCAGUGUCCUGCAGCAUUCCUGCAAGACCUUUACUGCUGCAAUCCUUUAAGCAUUUUGUAAAGGAUCUUGUCAAAUGCUCAAAAUGCUGUAAGGGAGAAACUCAC
ensembl:lncRNA